AGUCUGCAACCCGACUACAUGAAGCUGGAAUCGCUAGUAAUCGCGAAUCAGAAUGUUGCGGUGAAUACGUUCCCGGGUCUUGUACACACCGCCCGUCACACCAUGGGAGUCGGAAAUGCCCGAAGUCAGUGACCUAACCGAAAGGGAGGAGCUGCCGAAGGUGGAGCCGGUAACUGGGGUGAAGUCGUAACAAGGUACC
rnacentral:rRNA from 1 species